rnacentral:rRNA from 1 species
UACGUAGGGGGCUAGCGUUGUCCGGAAUCAUUGGGCGUAAAGAGCGUGUAGGCGGUCCGGUAAGUCCGCUGUGAAAGUCGGGGGCUCAACCCUCGAAUGCCGGUGGAUACUGUCGUGCUAGAGUGCGGAAGGGGCUACUGGAAUUCUCGGUGUAGCGGUGAAAUGCGUAGAUAUCGAGAGGAACACCAGCGGCGAAGGCGGGUAGCUGGGCCGACACUGACGCUGAGGCGCGAAAGCCAGGGGAGCGAACGGG